rnacentral:lncRNA from 13 species
GAAAAAUGCGCGGUUGGUGAUGAAUUUGCGUUUCUUUUUGAUGAAGAAUCAAGAUACUGAAUACAUUCUCAUUGUUUUCGAUUUAUAUUCACGAUCAAAGACUGAAUCACACGAAAUGGAUUCUAGAUCGAUUCCGCACGUGCAAUCAAAAUGACACAUCCGUCUGUGCGCUUUUGAACUUGGGAAGACCCUUUUUCACUGUCUUGGCCGUUGUUUAUAGCGAUUUAUAUGCAACAUUCGUAACUUUUGUUCGCUUCCUCGUUCACGUAUUCCAUGCACGUGAUAUCGUUUGCGGGGAUUAUACAAAGAAAUGUAUAAGAUGCUGAUAUCAUCAUAAUUACUCAUUUGCCCGGUAUGCCGCUAUAUUCUAUGAUAAUGACAUUUUCAUGUGACUCUUCAAGGUGAAGGAAGAAAAACGGAAAAUCCCUUAUACAUUAUAA